UACGGAGGGGGCUAGCGUUGUUCGGAAUGACUGGGCGUAAAGCGCGCGUAGGCGGAUUGGCAAGUUGGGGGUGAAAUCCCGGGGCUCAACCUCGGAAUGGCCUUCAAGACUGCUGGUCUUGAGUUCGAGAGAGGUGAGUGGAAUUCCGAGUGUAGAGGUGAAAUUCGUAGAUAUUCGGAGGAACACCAGUGGCGAAGGCGGCUCACUGGCUCGACACUGACGCUGAGGUGCGAAAGCGUGGGGAGCAAACAGG
rnacentral:ncRNA from 2 species